GAUGAACGCUGGCUACAGGCUUAACACAUGCAAGUCGAGGGGAAACGACGGGGAAGCUUGCUUCCCCGGGCGUCGACCGGCGCACGGGUGAGUAACGCGUAUCCAACCUGCCUCUGACUGAGGGAUAACCCGUCGAAAGUCGGCCUAAUACCUCAUGGCAUCGUCUGCGGGCAUCCAACGACGAUUAAAGAUUUCAUCGGUCAGAGAUGGGGAUGCGUCUGAUUAGCUUGUUGGCGGGGUAACGGCCCACCAAGGCUACGAUCAGUAGGGGUUCUGAGAGGAAGGUCCCCCACAUUGGAACUGAGACACGGUCCAAACUCCUACGGGAGGCAGCAGUGAGGAAUAUUGGUCAAUGGGCGAGAGCCUGAACCAGCCAAGUAGCGUGCAGGAAGACGGCCCUAUGGGUUGUAAACUGCUUUUAUGCGGGGAUAAAGUGAGGGACGUGUCCUUCAUUGCAGGUACCGCAUGAAUAAGGACGG
rnacentral:rRNA from 1 species